rnacentral:rRNA from 1 species
UACAGAGGGGGCAAGCGUUGUUCGGAAUUACUGGGCGUAAAGGGCGCGUAGGCGGCCUGUUAAGUCGAACGUGAAAUCCCCAGGCUCAACCUGGGAACUGCGUCCGAUACUGGCAGGCUUGAAUCCGGGAGAGGGAUGCGGAAUUCCAGGUGUAGCGGUGAAAUGCGUAGAUAUCUGGAGGAACACCGGUGGCGAAGGCGGCAUCCUGGACCGGUAUUGACGCUGAGGCGCGAAAGCCAGGGGAGCGAACGGG